rnacentral:rRNA from 1 species
CCUACGGGAGGCAGCAGUGGGGAAUAUUGGACAAUGGGGGGAACCCUGAUCCAGCGACGCCGCGUGAGUGAAGAAGUAUUUCGGUAUGUAAAGCUCUAUCAGCAGGGAAGAAAAUGACGGUACCUGACUAAGAAGCCCCGGCGAACUACGUGCCAGGCGCCGCGGUAAUACGUAGGGGGCAAGCGUUAUCCGGAUUUACUGGGGGUAAAGGGAGCGUAGACGGUGCAGCAAGUCAGAUGUGAAAGGUCGGGGCCCAACCCCGGGACAGCAUUGGAAACUGUUGAACUGGAGUACAGGAGAGGUAAGCGGAAUGCCGAGUGUAGCGGUGAAAUGCGUAGAUAUUAGGAGGAACACCAGUGGCGAAGGCGGCUUUCUAGACUGUAACUGACGCUGAGGCACGAAAGCGUGGGGAGCAAACAGGAUUAGAUACCCGUGUAGUC